rnacentral:rRNA from 1 species
AGAGUUUGAUCCUGGCUCAGGACGAACGCUGGCGGUGUGCUUCACACAUGCAAGUCGAACGGAGUAGCAAUACUCAGUGGCGGGACGGGUGAGUAACACGUGGGAAUCUACCAUUAGGUGGGGAAUAACAGGCCGAAAGGACUGCUAAUGCCGCAUAUGUAGGCAUCUCGACAGAGAUGUUUAUGAAAGGAGUAAUCCGCCUUUUGAUGAGCCCGCGUCCGAUUAGCUAGUUGGUAGGGUAAAAGCCUACCAAGGCGACGAUCGGUAGGUGGUCUGAGAGGAUGAUCACCCACAAUGGGACUGAGACACGGCCCAUACUCCUACGGGAGGCAGCAGUGGGGAAUUUUACGCAAUGGGGGAAACCCUGACGUAGCGACACCGCGUGAGCGAAGAAGCCCUUUGGGGUGUAAAGCUCUGUCAACAGGAACGAAACAAAUGACGGUACCUGUGGAGGAAGCAUCGGCUAACUACGUGCCAGCAGCCGCGGUAAGACGUAGGAUGCAAGCGUUGUCCGGAUUUAUUGGGCGUAAAGAGUUCGUAGGCGGUUUGUUAAGUCUGAUGUUAAAGACCGGGGCUCAACCUCGGAAAUGCAUUGGAUACUGGCAGACUGGAGUGCAGUAGAGGCUAGUGGAAUUCCCAGUGUAGCGGUGAAAUGCGUAGA